CCCGCCGCGGCCCCCGCGGCCCCCGCGGCCCCCGCGCCCCGGCCGAGAGCGAGCAGAGUUCGCCGGGGAGGAAGGCAGGCCGCCGGGCCGCCGGGCCUCCGGGCCUCCGAGACGGGAUGCUAGGGGCCGGCAGUUGGGGGUUGCUCGGAAAACGGGUGGGUUGUCUUCUGGCCUCAGAGUGUCCCUUAUCAGAGCCUCGGACCCUUGGGCCUCUUCACUCAGUACUUGGUGGACCAUCAUCACACCCUCUUGCACAGCGGGUAUUGGCUUGCCUGGCUGAUUCACGUGGGAGAGUCCUUGUACGCCAUGUUUUUGUGCAAGUCUAAAGGCAUCACGAAUGGUCGGGCUCAACUACUCUGGUUCCUACAAACUUUCCUCUUUGGAAUAGCAUCUCUCUCCAUCUUGAUUGCUUACAGACCAAAACGCCAAAAACAAACUUAAAGAAGAUAUCUAAAAGCUUUCUCUAUACUUUGACAUUCAGCUUCACCGUUUUGGGGGUGGGAGGGAUGCUGGGGGUGCUGGAGUUUACUUGAUCUUUCUACUUUCCAGAAAUUUAAGACCCUCUGGUUAUUCAUCAUUCUUUCAUACGCUCUGGUUGAGCUUGGCUAGAGAAGCGAAAAGGAUUUCAGCUUUCCAAUUCUGCAGACUCACUUUUGUGGCAGAGGGCCCCCAGCUCCCUUCUUGGGGUCUUUGGCAGUGUUGAUGCUCUUUGUGUCAUCUGGUUUAAGCUGUGUGCUAAAAUUGCUUGUUGGUAUGACUUUGCUCCCACCUUCUGACUUAAGACACCAUACCUUGACCACCCCACCUUAGCUCUCCUUUCCCCAGAUUUCGUGUACCUUUCUGAACCAGGACAGAGUAACAUUUCUACAACACAUCCAUUCCACAUACACUGGGCACCUGUGAAGCAGGAUCUUAUCUUCCCAAACUCCCAUUUUUCACACACCAAGAAAGAUAAGGUUAAGAUAAGCAAGUGCCAGGAAUGGGCCAGGCCGAGCAGUAACAUAGAGGCACAGAGGACAGGCUGAGGACCAGGAGGAAAGGAUGGGGCAAUGCCUUCCCUUAAUCCAGCCAGGAGCGAUCCUUCCCUCCACGUAGCCCCUUGGACACAGCACUCAGUGGUGUGCAGGGGUCUGAUGGCCGCUGCUAGAUGGCUCCUUCUGGUCGGGAGCACAUUUUAGCUUGAUUUCUUUUCUCAGGACCUGUCCCAUUGCCUUGUACACAGGUGUUCUAUCAGUAUUUUCUGGUCCUCUGAAUGAAAACUUUCCACUAGUUCAGUAUCAUUCCAGUUGUUACAGGAAAACUGCAGAACCCACUCAGUGUAUUCUCUUCUCAAAGGAGCACAGGCCUGCCCUUGACUGGUGGUACCACCACUCUGUGGGUCCCCCGGUAGGGAACUGGUGUCUUUUUCAUACUUGCCUAUUCUUAGUCACUUUCUUUUUCUUUUUUUUUUUUUUUAAGAUUUUAUUUGAGAGAGAGAGGCAGAGGGAGAAGCAGGCUCCAUGCAGGGAGCCUGAUAUGGGACUCGAUCCUGGGUCUCCAGGCUCAUGCCCUGGGCUGAAGCCUGCACCAAACCGCUGAGCCACCCGGGCUGCCCCUCUUAGUCACUUUCUACAGAUUGUAAUGUCUCCCUCCAGCUCCAGCUUACUCACAGACAUUCCUGAGCUAGAGAUUCUAACUGGGAGCUACUUACUACCUCUCCUACUCACCUGACUAGACCUUUUUACUACUAGUGACUGGCAAAAUGACUCUGUCACCUAAGGGCCAUAAGGGUUCCUUUUCUGGAGGACCACCUGCCUGCCACCUUCUCUAGGCACUAGACCUUAUUUCCCAUCUGUGAUGUGGUAGGGCAUGUUCUCUGCCUUAAGCAAACAUUUAUGAGAGACAGUCCCCUCCCCCCAAAAAGAGACCUCAAGUAAAACUACAAGCCUGAAAGGUUAUGGAUUAUGGGUUGUUUCUGGUGGAGAUCACUUUCUACAACUAAAUCUCCAUUUUUCCUGUUUCCUCUUGUGUUGAAGGGGUUGCCUUUUGGUAAAGAAAAAGAUUUUUAAUCGUAGAGUUAAAUAUCAUGGAAAUCCCAGACAGAUUUUUUUAAAAGCAUGGUCCUCUGGAAAGAGAAAUAGUAAUGACGGUAAUGUUAACGGUGACAGCAACAAUAUGGCAGAUUAUUGAAUGAAAUGAAUUAACUCGAAUAAAUGCUGUGAAUUGUCUCCAAA